rnacentral:rRNA from 1 species
UACGUAGGGUGCGAGCGUUGUCCGGAAUUACUGGGCGUAAAGGGCUCGUAGGCGGCCAACUAAGUCGGAUGUGAAAUCCCCAGGCUCAGCCUGGGAACUGCAUCCGAUACUGGAUGGCUUGAAUUCGGGAGAGGGAUGCAGAAUUCCUGGUGUAGCGGUGAAAUGCGCAGAUAUCAGGAGGAACACCGGUGGCGAAGGCGGGUCUCUGGGCCGAUAUCGACGCUGAGGAGCGAAAGCGUGGGGAGCGAACAGG